GAUGAAGAACGUAGCAAAAUGCGAUAAGUAAUGUGAAUUGCAGAAUUCAGUGAAUCAUCGAAUCUUUGAACGCACAUUGCGCCCGCCAGUAUUCUGGCGGGCAUGCCUGUUCGAGCGUCAUUUCAACCCUCAAGCCCUCGGGUUUGGUGUUGGGGAUCGGCGAGCCUUUCUGGCAAGCCGGCCCCGAAAUCUAGUGGCGGUCUCGCUGCAGCCUCCAUUGCGUAGUAGUAAAACCCUCGCAACUGGAACGCGGCGCGGCCAAGCCGUUAAACCCCCAACUUCUGAAUGUUGACCUCGGAUCAGGUAGGAAUACCCGCUGAACUUAAGCAUAUCAAUAAGUGGAGGA
rnacentral:misc_RNA from 1 species